rnacentral:rRNA from 1 species
AACGAACGCUGGCGGCAUGCCUAACACAUGCAAGUCGAACGAGACCUUCGGGUCUAGUGGCGCACGGGUGCGUAACGCGUGGGAACCUGCCCUUAGGUUCGGAAUAACUCUCCGAAAGGGGUGCUAAUACCGGAUAAUGUCUUCGGACCAAAGAUUUAUCGCCUUUGGUUGGGCCCGCGUUGGAUUAGCUAGUUGGUAGGGUAAAAGCCUACCAAGGCGACGAUCCAUAGCUGGUCGGAGAGGAUGAUCAGCCACACUGGGACUGAGACGCGGCCCAGACUCCUACGGGAGGCAGCAGUGGGGAAUAUUGGACCAUGGGCGGAAGCCUGAUCCAGCAAUGCCGCGUGAGUGAUGAAGGCCUUAGGGUUGUAAAGCUCUUUUACCCGGGAUGAUAAUGACAGUACCGGGAGAAUAAGCUCCGGCUAACUCCGUG